rnacentral:rRNA from 1 species
GACGAACGCUGGCGGCGUGCCUAAUACAUGCAAGUCGAACGAACCGCGCCUAUGUGCUUUCACUGGGUCACGGUGAGUGGCGAACGGGUGAGUAACACGUCGGUAACCUACCUCAUAGUGGCGGAUAACAGUCGGAAAUGACUGCUAAUACCGCAUACGACAUAGGGUCACUUGGUUCGGUUAGGAAAGGUGGCGCGAACUAUCGCUAUGUGAUCUAGCCGCUGUGCAUUAGCUAGUUGGUAGGGUAAAGGCCUACCAGGGCGGUGAUGGAUAGCCGACGUGAGAGGGGGGUCGCCGCCAUUGGGGCUGAGACGCGGCCUAGGGACCUACGGGAGGCAGCAGUAGGGAAGGUUCGGCACUGGGCGGAAGUUUGACGGAGCGGCGCCGCGUGAGUGCAGAAAGUCUUCGGAUCGUAAGACUGUGUUGUUGGUGAAGACCAGCUUAAGCAGGAGCUGUGCUGGGUGUGACGGUACCUGCAGAAGAAGCAACGGCUAACUACGUG